rnacentral:lncRNA from 1 species
CUUUGGAUGUUGAGAUCUGAACUUAAGACUCAUGAUUUUGAGAUUAGUGGCUUAAAGAAAGAAGGGUUGAUUAGUACAUAAUAACUACAAAGACAUGCUGAUGAGAGCAAAAAAAAGAAGAGAAUAAUAGUGGUGCUCAAGUGAGGGAAACAUGUUUGGUUUAUUAGUGGCUUUUCUUGGUGAAAAAGAAAGUGGAAGAAAGGAUCUUCUUAGCAUAUACCUUGACAAACUUUGGUUGCUUU